rnacentral:rRNA from 1 species
CCUACGGGGGGCAGCAGUGAGGAAUAUUGGUCAAUGGCCGGAAGGCUGAACCAGCCAAGCCGCGUGAAGGACGAAGGUGCCAAGCAUUGUAAACUUCUUUUGUCAAGGGACAAAAUCAGGCUCGAGAGCCUGACCGAGGGUACUUGAAGAAAAAGCAUCGGCUAACUCCGUGCCAGCAGCCGCGGUAAUACGGGGGAUACGAGCGUUAUCCGGAUUUAUUGGGUUUAAGGGGUGCGUAGGGGGACUGCUAAGUCAGCGGUAAAAGUCGGGGGCCCAACCCCGGAGAGCCGUUGAAACUGGCAGUCUUGAGAUGUCGAGAGGUAGGCGGAAUGCGCAGUGUAGCGGUGAAAUGCUUAGAUAUUGCGCAGAACUCCGAUUGCGAAGGCAGCAUACCGGCGGCGAUCUGACGCUGAGGCACGAAAGCGUGGGUAUCGAACAGGAUUAGAUACCCUUGUAGUC